rnacentral:rRNA from 1 species
GGCAGCCGCCGCGGGAACACCGGCGGCCCGAGUGGUGAUCGUGAUUAUUGGGUCUAAAGGGUCCGUAGCCGGUUUGGUCAGUCCUCCGGGAAAUCUGAUAGCUCAACUAUUAGGCUUUCGGGGGAUACUGCCAGACUUGGAACCGGGAGAGGUAAGAGGUACUACAGGGGUAGGAGUGAAAUCUUGUAAUCCCUGUGGGACCACCUGUGGCGAAGGCGUCUUACCAGAACGGGUUCGACGGUGAGGGACGAAAGCUGGGGGGCACGAACCGGAUUAGAUACCCGGGUAGUCCCAGCCGUAAACGAUGCUCGCUAGGUGUCAGGCAUGGCGCGACCGUGUCUGGUGCCGCAGGGAAGCCGUGAAGCGAGCCACCUGGGAAGUACGGCCGCAAGGCUGAAACUUAAAGGAAUUGGCGGGGGAGCACAACAACGGGUGGAGCCCUGCGGUUUAAUUGGACUCAACGCCGGACAACUCACCGGGGGCGACAGCAAUAUGUAGGCCAAGCUGAAGACUUUGCCUGAAUCGCUGAGAAGAGGUGCAUGG